GAUGAACGCUGGCGGCGUGCCUAAUACGUGCAAGUAGAACGCUGAAGGAGGAGCUUGCUCUUCUGGAUGAGUUGCGAACGGGUGAGUAACGCGUAGGUAACCUGCCUGGUAGCGGGGGAUAACUAUUGGAAACGAUAGCUAAUACCGCAUGACAACAGUUAUUGCAUGAUAACUGUUUAAAAGGGGCAACUGCUCCACUACCAGAUGGACCUGCGUUGUAUUAGCUAGUUGGUGAGGUAACGGCUCACCAAGGCGACGAUACAUAGCCGACCUGAGAGGGGGAUCGGCCACGCUGGGACUGAGACACGGCCCAGACUCCUACGGGAGGCAGCAGUAGGGAAUCUUCGGCAAUGGACGGAAGUCUGACCGAGCAACGCCGCGUGAGUGAAGAAGGGUGUCGGAUCGUAAAGCUCUGUUGUAAGAGAAGAACGAGUGUGAGAGUGGAAAGUUCACACUGUGACGGUAUCUUACCAGAAAGGGACGGCUAACUACGUG
rnacentral:rRNA from 1 species